AUGCCCCUUUCAGGUUAAGUCAUGUCUUAGGAGGUUAAUAAAGAACGGUAAAGGAAAUCUCCAUAAAACCCAGAAAAGAAAUAGUAAAAGUCCUCUUUGGAUCCUGUCUGGAAAUGUAUAU
ensembl:snoRNA